AUGCAGCCUGAGUAUUCUUUUGGAUGGUGCUGCAAGACGGCUUGUCGCAUUCUGGCACUGGCUCCUAUUCCUAACCAGCGCAUCUCACACAGAGCAGACAGCAUCCGCAGUGAUGAUCAAGUUGGCAAGAAAAGUGGCCGGAUCGAGUUAAAGGCGAAAGGAGACAGCUGGGGAGGGGACCCCAGCCAGGAGGUGCACCCCAUACACCCUGGCCUGGGGGGACAGGAUCCCUCGCCUUACCUGCCCUCUGCCCUCACCCCCCGAAGGUACUUCUCUCUUUCUUUACUGUCCCUUCAUUCCUUAUGCCACUUCCUGCAUCCCACCUUUUCUUUCCCCUUGUGGAUAUUUCCAGCCUUUAGGCUUCUCUUCCAGUCCUUCCUCAGGCUUCUCCAUUCCCACUCAUCCUGCAGUCUCCAAGCCUACCUCCGCACCCUGCCUCCCACCAUCCUCCAUUGAACUGCCUUUGCACUCUCUCCUCUCCUCUCCUCUCCUCUCCUCUCCUUUCUUUUCUUCUCCUCUCCUCACUUCAGCCUGGGUCCCCCAUUCUCUGUGCCACAAUGACUGUGAUGGCUGGAGAGAACAUGGAUGAGACUUCUGUGCUACCUGGACACCCCAGGAUAGCUAUCAGCCUGCUGCCCAUGAUGACCAUGAAUGCUGUGAGCGUGUAGUGAUAAACAUUGCUGGACUACGCUUUGAGACGCAGCUAAAGACCUUAGCCCAGUUCCCCAACACACUGC
rnacentral:lncRNA from 1 species